rnacentral:rRNA from 1 species
UAGGGAAUAUUGGACAAUGGGCGCAAGCCUGAUCCAGCCAUGCCGCGUGAGUGAAGAAGGCCCUCGGGUUGUAAAGCUCUUUUGUCCGGAAAGAAAAGCAUCGGGCUAAUACCCUGGUGUUCUGACGGUACCGGAAGAAUAAGCACCGGCUAACUUCGUGCCAGCAGCCGCGGUAAUACGAAGGGUGCAAGCGUUACUCGGAAUUACUGGGCGUAAAGCGUGCGUAGGUGGUUUGUUAAGUCUGAUGUGAAAGCCCUGGGCUCAACCUGGGAAUGGCAUUGGAAACUGGCGGACUCGAGUGCGGUAGAGGGGUGUGGAAUUCCCGGCGUAGCAGUGAAAUGCGUAGAGAUCGGGAGGAACACCAGUGGCGAAGGCGACACCCUGGACCAGCACUGACACUGAGGCACGAAAGCGUGGGGAGCAAACAGGAUUAGAUACCCUGGUAGUCCACGCCCUAAACGAUGCGAACUGGAUGUUGGGUGCAACUUGGCACUCAGUAUCGAAGCUAACGCGUUAAGUUCGCCGCCUGGGGAGUACGGUCGCAAGACUGAAACUCAAAGGAAUUGAC